rnacentral:misc_RNA from 1 species
AAUUUGUGAAGUCUAUAUUGGCAUGUGAACCUGUACUGAAGGAGAUCUUUGAUGGAUGAGAUGAAACAAUUCCAUCGAGAAUCAGACAACAUUAGAUUCAAAUUUGAAGAAAUAUGUACAGGUCUAUUUGCACAUAUUCAUAGAUAAACUUGAUUUAUUCAAUUCAAUUUCCUUUUGAGAUCCCGAUAUGACCUAGAUUAAUUCCAACACAUUUCUACCUAUAGCAAUUG